rnacentral:misc_RNA from 1 species
GAUGAAGAACGUAGCGAAAUGCGAUACGUAAUGUGAAUUGCAGAAUUCAGUGAAUCAUCGAAUCUUUGAAUGCAUAUUGCGCUCUCUGGUAUUCCGGAGAGCAUGCUUGUUUGAGUAUCAGUAAACACCUCAACUUCCAUAUCUUUUUUGAAAUGGGAGUUGGACUUGAGUGAUCCCAACGCUUUUCCUCACCGAAAAGUGGCGGGUUACUUGAAAUGCAGGUGCAGCUGGACUUUUCUCUGAGCUAUAAGCAUAUCUAUUUAGUCUGCCUAAAAAACAGAUUAUUACCUUUGCUGCAGCUAACAUAAAGGAGAUUAGUUCUUGUGCUGACUGAUGCAGGAUUCACAAAGACAGGCUUCGGCCGACUUUGUAAACUCGAUCUCAAAUCAAGUAAGACUACCCGCUGAACUUAAGCAUAUCAAUAAGCGGAGGA